rnacentral:tmRNA from 1 species
AGGACUGACCGUCUCGGGUGAUCGUUUGUUCGAUACCUUCACUAAUCGGGGCGUUGUCGAAUUCGAACUAGAUGUGACGGUGUCUGGACGUUGCGUUGAAAUUAAACAGAAUACGCUUUAAUUCGGGUGUUUAUGCCCAGGUUACUGCCGACAAUUAAUCGUAAACUAAACAUGUAGAAAGCAUUUUGGUUCCUUUUUUGGACGCGGGUUCGAUUCCCGCCGACUCCACCA